GGUUAAGCGACUAAGCGUACACGGUGGAUGCCCUGGCAGUCAGAGGCGAUGAAGGACGUGCUAAUCUGCGAAAAGCGUCGGUAAGGUGAUAUGAACCGUUAUAACCGGCGAUGUCCGAAUGGGGAAACCCAGUGUGAUUCGUCACACUAUCGUUAACUGAAUACAUAGGUUAACGAGGCGAACCGGGGGAACUGAAACAUCUAAGUACCCCGAGGAAAAGAAAUCAACCGAGAUUCCCCCAGUAGCGGCGAGCGAACGGGGAGCAGCCCAGAGUCUGAAUCAGCUUGUGUGUUAGUGGAACGGUCUGGAAAGUCCGACGGUACAGGGUGAUAGUCCCGUACACCAAAAUGCACAGGCUGUGAACUCGAAGAGUAGGGCGGGACACGUGGUAUCCUGUCUGAAUAUGGGGGGACCAUCCUCCAAGGCUAAAUACUCCUGACUGACCGAUAGUGAACCAGUACCGUGAGGGAAAGGCGAAAAGAACCCCGGCGAGGGGAGUGAAAAAGAACCUGAAACCGUGUACGUACAAGCAGUGGGAGCACCUUCGGGUGUGACUGCGUACCUUUUGUAUAAUGGGUCAGCGACUUAUAUUCUGUAGCAAGGUUAACCGUAUAGGGGAGCCGCAGGGAAACCGAGUCUUAACUGGGCGUUAAGUUGCAGGGUAUAGACCCGAAACCCGGUGAUCUAGCCAUGGGCAGGUUGAAGGUUGGGUAACACUAACUGGAGGACCGAACCGACUAAUGUUGAAAAAUUAGCGGAUGACUUGUGGCUGGGGGUGAAAGGCCAAUCAAACCGGGAGAUAGCUGGUUCUCCCCGAAAGCUAUUUAGGUAGCGCCUCGUGAACUCAUCUUCGGGGGUAGAGCACUGUUUCGGCUAGGGGGUCAUCCCGACUUACCAACCCGAUGCAAACUACGAAUACCGAAGAAUGUUAUCACGGGAGACACACGGCGGGUGCUAACGUCCGUCGUGAAGAGGGAAACAACCCAGACCGCCAGCUAAGGUCCCAAAGUCAUGGUUAAGUGGGAAACGAUGUGGGAAGGCACAGACAGCCAGGAUGUUGGCUUAGAAGCAGCCAUCAUUUAAAGAAAGCGUAAUAGCUCACUGGUCGAGUCGGCCUGCGCGGAAGAUGUAACGGGGCUAAACCAUGCACCGAAGCUGCGGCAGCGACACUAUGUGUUGUUGGGUAGGGGAGCGUUCUGUAAGCCUGCGAAGGUGUGCUGUGAGGCAUGCUGGAGGUAUCAGAAGUGCGAAUGCUGACAUAAGUAACGAUAAAGCGGGUGAAAAGCCCGCUCGCCGGAAGACCAAGGGUUCCUGUCCAACGUUAAUCGGGGCAGGGUGAGUCGACCCCUAAGGCGAGGCCGAAAGGCGUAGUCGAUGGGAAACAGGUUAAUAUUCCUGUACUUGGUGUUACUGCGAAGGGGGGACGGAGAAGGCUAUGUUAGCCGGGCGACGGUUGUCCCGGUUUAAGCAUGUAGGCUGAUUGUCCAGGCAAAUCCGGAUAAUCAAGGCUGAGGUGUGAUGACGAGGCACUACGGUGCUGAAGUAACAAAUGCCCUGCUUCCAGGAAAAGCCUCUAAGCAUCAGGUAACAUCAAAUCGUACCCCAAACCGACACAGGUGGUCAGGUAGAGAAUACCAAGGCGCUUGAGAGAACUCGGGUGAAGGAACUAGGCAAAAUGGUGCCGUAACUUCGGGAGAAGGCACGCUGGUGUGUAGGUGAAGUCCCUGCGGAUGGAGCUGAGACCAGUCGAAGAUACCAGCUGGCUGCAACUGUUUAUUAAAAACACAGCACUGUGCAAACACGAAAGUGGACGUAUACGGUGUGACGCCUGCCCGGUGCCGGAAGGUUAAUUGAUGGGGUUAUCCGUAAGGAGAAGCUCUUGAUCGAAGCCCCGGUAAACGGCGGCCGUAACUAUAACGGUCCUAAGGUAGCGAAAUUCCUUGUCGGGUAAGUUCCGACCUGCACGAAUGGCGUAAUGAUGGCCAGGCUGUCUCCACCCGAGACUCAGUGAAAUUGAACUCGCUGUGAAGAUGCAGUGUACCCGCGGCAAGACGGAAAGACCCCGUGAACCUUUACUAUAGCUUGACACUGAACAUUGAGCCUUGAUGUGUAGGAUAGGUGGGAGGCUUUGAAGCGUGGACGCCAGUCUGCGUGGAGCCAACCUUGAAAUACCACCCUUUAAUGUUUGAUGUUCUAACGUUGGCCCCUGACCGGGGUUGCGGACAGUGUCUGGUGGGUAGUUUGACUGGGGCGGUCUCCUCCCAAAGCGUAACGGAGGAGCACGAAGGUUAGCUAAUCCUGGUCGGACAUCAGGAGGUUAGUGCAAUGGCAUAAGCUAGCUUGACUGCGAGCGUGACGGCGCGAGCAGGUGCGAAAGCAGGUCAUAGUGAUCCGGUGGUUCUGAAUGGAAGGGCCAUCGCUCAACGGAUAAAAGGUACUCCGGGGAUAACAGGCUGAUACCGCCCAAGAGUUCAUAUCGACGGCGGUGUUUGGCACCUCGAUGUCGGCUCAUCACAUCCUGGGGCUGAAGUAGGUCCCAAGGGUAUGGCUGUUCGCCAUUUAAAGUGGUACGCGAGCUGGGUUUAGAACGUCGUGAGACAGUUCGGUCCCUAUCUGCCGUGGGCGCUGGAGAAUUGAGGGGGGCUGCUCCUAGUACGAGAGGACCGGAGUGGACGCAUCACUGGUGUUCGGGUUGUCAUGCCAAUGGCACUGCCCGGUAGCUAAAUGCGGAAGAGAUAAGUGCUGAAAGCAUCUAAGCACGAAACUUGCCCCGAGAUGAGUUCUCCCUGAGACU
rnacentral:rRNA from 1 species